rnacentral:rRNA from 1 species
CUACGGGUGGCUCCAGUGAGGAAUAUUGGUCAAUGGGCGCAAGCCUGAACCAGCCAUCCCGCGUGGAGGAAGACGGCCCUAUGGGUUGUAAACUCCUUUUAUAAGGGAAGAACAUACGUAUCGUGAUAUGUUUUGACGGUACCUUAUGAAUAAGCAUCGGCUAACUCCGUGCCAGCAGCCGCGGUAAUACGGAGGAUGCAAGCGUUAUCCGGAUUCAUUGGGUUUAAAGGGUGCGCAGGCGGACCAAUAAGUCAGUGGUGAAAUCUUACGGCUCAACCGUGAAACUGCCAUUGAUACUGUUAGUCUUGAGUACGGCUGAGGUAGGCGGAAUGUGUAAUGUAGCGGUGAUAUGCUUAGAUAUUACACAGAACACCAAUUGCGUAGGCAGCUUACUAGACCGUAACUGACGCUGAGGCACGAAAGCGUGGGUAGCGAACAGGAUUAGAUACCCGCGUAGUC